AUACGUAGGGGACAAGCGUUGUCCGGAAUCACUGGGCGUAAAGGGCGCGUAGGCGGUUUUAUAAGUAAGAUGCGAAAGGUACCGGCUCAACCGGUUACGUGCAUUUGAAACUGUCAGACUUGAGUACUGGAGAGGCAAGUGGAAUUCCUAGUGUACCGGUGAAAUGCGUAGAUAUUAGGAGGAACACCGGUGGCGAAGUCGGCUUGCUGGACAGAUACUGACGCUGAGGUGCGAAAGCGUGGGGAGCGAACAGGAUUAGAUACCCUGGUAGUCCACGCCGUAAACGAUGAUGACUAGGUGUUGGGGAAACUCAGUGCCGCAGUUAACACAUUAAGUCAUCCGCCUGGGGAGUACGACCGCAAGGUUGAAACUCAAAGGAAUUGACGGGG
rnacentral:rRNA from 1 species